GAUGAACGCUGGCGGCGUGCCUAAUACAUGCGAGUCGAGCGAACGGACGAGAAGCUUGCUUUUCUGAUGUUAGCGGCGGACGGGUGAGUAACACGUGGAUAACCUACCUAUAAGACUGGGAUAACUUCGGGAAACCGGAGCUAAUACCGGAUAAUAUUUUGAACCGCAUGGUUCAUAGGUGAAAGACGGUCUUGCUGUCACUUAUAGCUGGAUCCGCGCUGCAUUAGCUAGUUGGUAAGGUAACGGCUUACCAAGGCAACGAUGCAUAGCCGACCUGAGAGGGUGAUCGGCCACACUGGAACUUAGACACGGACCAGACUCCUACGGUACGCAGCAGUAGGGAAUCUUCCGCAAUGGGCGGAAGCCUUACGGAGCAACGCCGCGUGAGUGAUGAAGGUCUUCGGUUCGUAAAACUCUGUUAUUAGGGAAAAACAUAUUUGUAAUGAACUGUGCACAUCUUGACGGUACCUAAUCAGAAAGCCACGGCUAACUACGUG
rnacentral:rRNA from 1 species